UACAUGGGGUGCAAACGUUGCUCGGAAUUACUGGGCGUAAAGCGCACGUAGGCGGCUUCUUAAGUCGGUGGUGAAAUCCUGGAGCUCAACUCCAGAACUGCCUUCGAUACUGGGAGCUCGAGUCCGGGAGAGGUGAGUGGAACUGCGAGUGUAGAGGUGAAAUUCGUAGAUAUUCGCAAGAACACCAGUGGCGAAGGCGGCUCACUGGCCCGGUACUGACGCUGAGGUGCGAAAGCGUGGGGAGCAAACAGGGAUUAAGAAACCCCAGUA
rnacentral:rRNA from 1 species